rnacentral:rRNA from 1 species
GACGAACGCUGGCGGCGUGCUUAACACAUGCAAGUCGAACGGAAAGGCCCCUUUGGGGGUCCUCGAGUGGCGAACGGGUGAGUAACACGUGAGUAACCUGCCCUUGACUUCGGGAUAACUUCAGGAAACUGGGGCUAAUACCGGAUAGGAAUCCUUGCUGCAUGGUGGGGGUUGGAAAGCUUCGGCGGUUUUGGAUGGACUCGCGGCUUAUCAGCUUGUUGGUGGGGUAGUGGCUUACCAAGGCUUUGACGGGUAGCCGGCCUGAGAGGGCGACCGGCCACAUUGGGACUGAGAUACGGCCCAGACUCCUACGGGAGGCAGCAGUGGGGAAUAUUGCACAAUGGGCGGAAGCCUGAUGCAGCAACGCCGCGGGCGGGAUGACGGCCUUCGGGUUGGAAACCGCUUUCAGCAGGGGCGAAGCUUGUGGUGACGGUACCUGCAGAAGAAGCACCGGCUAACUACGUG